rnacentral:misc_RNA from 1 species
CCAAACUUGGUCAUUUAGAGGAAGUAAAAGUCGUAACAAGGUCUCCGUUGGUGAACCAGCGGAGGGAUCAUUACCGAGUUUACAACUCCCAAACCCAUGUGAACCUUACCUAUCGUUGCCUCGGCGGGACUGCCCCGGUGCCUCUGCUGCCCGGACCAAGGCGCCCGCCGGAGGACCCUAAACUCUUUGUAUUUUCAGUGGUAUCUUCUGAGUUGUACAAGCAAAUAAAUUAAAACUUUCAACAACGGAUCUCUUGGUUCUGGCAUCGAUGAAGAACGCAGC